rnacentral:tRNA from 1 species
GCUUGGAUAGCUCAGUUGGUAGAGCGCGCCCCUGAAGAGGGUGAGGUCCCCGGUUCGAGCCCGGGUCCAAGCACCA